rnacentral:lncRNA from 1 species
GCUUAUCCAACUAAACCCUAAGAAACUAUUUGAUUAUAAAUACAUGACAAUCAAAACCAAAAUCAGAAAUUAAAUCGUAAAAAUUAAUACUAAAAUAAAACCCAAAAGGUUAAUGCAAUGUACCUGUGAUUAAAUCAUAAUGUUAUUGGGGAACAAUAACAACGACGACUAGAAUAACUUAUAAUUUCUAAAUCCAAGCCCAAUACCCAUUAAACCCAAAAUAACCUAAUACCCUAAAGUUAAGACCUAAUUUCAAAGAAACUGGAAAUGACAGACCCCCUCCUCUCUUGAAUUCUCAGCAGCCGCACAACCACAGUCCCUCCUCUCCAUCGCUUAAGCUUCUGCCCAACGACCUCUUCGAUUGAAGACCAACAACCAUCAAUCUCUAACUCCCCAAAAAUGGCCGAACUCCCCCCUCUUUAUAACCAAGAGCCACACACCUCUCACCUUCACCAAUCCUUAAAACAUCCCCAGUUGUCACCCCUAAAACUAGCCAUCGGGAACAAGCACACACAUAUAGUUGAAGGAAAUCGAUGACCACUCUCAACCCCUCCCCCAUCGCUCAGAUCUGAGUAAAAGGAGGUAGCGAGGCAAUCUGAUCAAAGUUGAUGAGGUUUCCGGCGAGGUUUUCCAUUUUAGAUUUUGUUCGCGAGUCCGAUAUCUAGUCGUUUGUGGAACAAAUACUCGAUUUUAUGAGUAAUACGAGCCUGAGAUUUUGGUGAUUAAUUUGAAAGUGUGGCUGCUUGAGGUCUGUUUUUACUUUGAAUUUAAUCUUUUCUCCGUGUUCCUGUUUCUUUGAUGAUUAUGACUGCCCUAUCAUUAUUCGGUUAUUUUGUGUUUUGUUUAAAAUUAUCUCUUAAUUUGAUUUGUUUAUGCUUAGUUUGAAUAUGAUACAUUAUAUAGAACAGAAAUGAAUUAGUUGGUUAGUUUUCAGAAUGAUGAACACAUGAUAUGUUUGGUUUAAUAAUUUUGGGUUAACAUUCAUCGAGAGUGCAAAGUAAACCACGAUAGUGAAUGAAAUUAAGGGUAGUUGUGUUUGGAUUGAUUCAAGUAACUAAAAAGGUUAAUGGCAAUAAAUUAAAGUUUACGCCUUCCUGUUGGAGUGUUGGGUCAUGAAACUUGACUUGGAAUGUUUGAUAGAACUUUUCUAUAUUAAGCUCAAAAACUUUUCAUGCUCGCAUUCUUGUUUAUUUAAUGGACUGCUAGUAUAAUGUUUAGGCCAUCGAUACAUGGGUAGGCAAAUCUUUAGGACGUUUGUGAUUUAAUUUCUGUUAAGGCGAGAGGUUGUCCCUUUAGUCGAUUAUAUUAUCUGGGGAAUGCUCCGAAGAUUUUGUAUAUAUUUUUAUCCGGGGUAUCCCCUAAAGUAUUUGUAUUGAAAGUCCAACAAUAGAACACUUUGAGGAAGCAUAGAAUAGUAUUUUUAUUUUUACUUUUAUUUUUGUUUCAUUAGGUGGGGACGACCUCGAGCCUCUUUUGAUUGUUUUUUUUUUAGUUUUUAUUUUUUUGUGUUUUUCUACCUCAAUUUGAGUAUUUUUUUAAAGCCAACUUGAUCAUGUACGCAACCGUACUAGUUACAGGACUCGAAGAAUGCCUAACACCUUCUCCUCGAGUCAAAUGAACCCCCUUAUCUAGAAUCUUUGGUGCAAACUGGUUUAAGAGUCAAAUAUGUUUUGAAGGAAAAUUGUUAUUUUGAAAAUGGUGACCUUGCACACCGACACCAAUGUUAGGUGGCGAUUCUGAAAAAUCCUUCGAAAUACAAUAUUUUUGUCACUUUUCAAUUUUUAAAACCCUUUUGAGCUCAAAAAUUACUUUAUUAUUUUAAAGGAGUUAGUGAGGUAAAAAAAGGGGUGUGACACCGGGUAGUUUUAGGACUCUACCAUGUAUUACUUGUAUUAUUUGCACUCAACUUGUUAGUUUAAAUACUUAAAUUUAUAAUUAUAAUUGGAUAAAUGAUUUGUAAAGACCGAGCUUCAUUACUUUGAGUCUUGGCAAAAUACUUGAUUGUUAGCGGAACUUAUGCCUUCUUUGAGUAUUAAUCUUAUGUGGUAGUCAUAAAUCAGAGCUUGUAGAGUAUUCUCUAUUCCUGUGGAUCGGGAUGAAUGCCUCAGCGGUAUAAUAGGUUCAUCUAUGGUUCGUGUCGGUCAACCCUCGGCAGUGUAUACACUAUUAUGGAUCGGGUCGUACGACCUCAACAUAAAUCGUGCGUGAUAUUGCUCGGAGUCUGAUUAUGCUUGAUAUUUCUUCUUAAUCUGAGACUAGGAAAUUUGUAAUGACCUGGCCGGUCGUUUCAUGAGUUGCCGCUCUGUUUCCCCCAUUUUUGUUUUCUUAUGUGAUGUUCAGCUACAUCUCAUCGUAUAAUGUUAGUUGGUUCGGGUUCAUAGUAGUUUUGGAGUGUUAUGAGACACUUAGUCUUUUAAGUUGGCAAUUUAGUUGGAAAGGUCAACCGGAAGUUGACUUGUGAGUAAAUGAUCUCGUAACAUGGUGUUUAUGGUUUGGAUAGCUUCAUGAGGUGAUUUGGGACUUAGGAGCAUGUUCAGAAUGUAAUUCGGAGAUCCGUGGUAGAUUUAGGCUUGAAUUGGCGAAAUUGGAAUUUUGGCGUUUUUCGGUUGGUAGCGAAAAUUUUGAUAUCGGGGUCGGAAUGGAAUUCCGAAAAUUGAAGUAGGUCCGUUGUAUCAUUUGUGAUGUAUGUGCAAAGAUUAGGUCAUUCAAAUUAGGUUUGAUAGACUCUUUGAUUGAUUGCGGAAUUCGGAAGUUUUGGAUCCUUAGGCUUGAAUCCGAGGGUGUUUUGAUGAUUCGAUGUUGUUUUAAGUGUUCCGAAGGUUGGUAUUGUUGAUACCCAAUUUUUCCCUAUGUAUUUUUAUAUACAAAAUACUUUCAAAAUAGCAUAUAUAUGCAUAUAUAAGCAUGCCCAAGUGUUUUGGUAUUUUUUCUAAUUUUUUUAAAAAGAUUUUAAAAUUAAUUUAUUGUCCACUUUAGCAGUAACUAUUCCCAAGAUUAUCGUUUUGGUGGAUAACUUAUCUUAUUAUCAUAUUUAUACCAAAAUAUAGUUAAGGUAAUUUUUGUUUGUUUUUACAAAUUUUAUUUGGUAUUUUAAAGCUAAAUUGCAUGUAAUUGCAAUUCUAGCCUACUUUAAGAUUAAUAGCAUUUUACAAUUGUAAAAUUAUUUCCAGUAUUUUUAAAUUAAUAUUUAUAUAUUAUUAAUUGGCUCAGUACUUUUAGUUUGCUUUUAAAAUUAUUUACUAUUUUUAUAAAAUAAAAGGGAAAACUAGCUAUUUAACAUCUAGCCUCAUUCUAUUUCAAAUACAACCUUUUUACCUUUCAAUUUUAACCAUUAUUUGACCCAAUCUUAACCUAUUUGGACCGGCCCAAUUUUUAAUUUUACCAAACCCACAACCCGAUCCAAAUGACCCUUACCCGGUUCCCACCUACCCUCCUAAAUCUGGGUCGUUGAUCACACAAGAUCAACGGCCGUAACUCACCCUUCCAUAAUUAAACCAAACGACCUACCCUAAUCUCCCUCAUUCACACCUGACCCGCCGCCUUUGAAUCCCAAACGUUCUCAAAUCCUCUCAUCAACUCUUCGAAACCCUAGCCUCCUCCUACCUUAUUUCACCAUGUUUUCACCGAAAUUCAUGGCUUCUCAAGCCAUGGACGGUCUGUACUCACCCCUCUCCAUCAUUAUACCUUGGGUGUUCGAGGUUUUGAAGGCUGACUUCGAUGGUUCUUGUAGGCUCUUCUCUGUUUAUUUUCUUAGAUCUAUGGUAUGUCCAUGUUCUACUGGGCUUCUAAAGUGUUUACCCCAAAUUUUCUUUUCAAAAAUCGUUUCUGAAAAAGUUUUCAAAAAUGAUCUUUCUGAUUCUUUAUUUAUGUGUGUUUGUCUGUGCUAUGCUCGUAUGGCUUCUUUUACUACGCGUGUACUGUUCUCUUACUCUUCUUUUUCUACUAUACCUGUUACUCUUGUUAAUCCUUGUUAUGUUUCCCUUACUCUUCUACUAUAUGUGCUUACUGUUGUGUUUUUUUUAUUUUGUUUGCUCUAUUAGACUUUGUUUACGUUCUUGCUGAACAUGUUUCCUCUGUUUUAAUUUAAGUCUGUAUCACCCCUUCUUUUCUGAACUUGUUUAAGUUUGAGUUUCUCAAAUAUGUUCUCUAUGACCUCAAAUUAGCUUUUUUUCUUUGUAUCAUGUCUGUUUGUUUCUCAUAAGUCUUUGAAAUAGACUUCUGAGCCUGUUUCAAUGACUUGCUUUCUUAUCUCUAUGAAACCCUAGGAUUUGGGGGUUUUUGGCAAUUUUGAAUUUGUGCGAGUUAGGGUUCCGCUUUGGGACCCUGAACCCUCAGACUCAUUGUGAGUCUGCAAACUGGACUUGUACCCUUUCUUGCUCAUGAUUCUGAACCUCUCUUUGAGUAAAAUCUCUUUUAUAUAACUUCUUGAUUCACAUGUUUGUGUGCUUUUAUAUAUGAGAACUCUUCUUUCAAAAGGUCUUUACCAACUAAUUGAUUGAUUUCGAAUUCCUUUUAAUGAGCCCUGACUGAUUUNNNNNNNNNNNNNNNNNNNNNNNNNNNNNNNNNNNNNNNNNNNNNNNNNNNNNNNNNNNNNNNNNNNNNNNNNNNNNNNNNNNNNNNNNNNNNNNNNNNNNNNNNNNNNNNNNNNNNNNNNNNNNNNNNNNNNNNNNNNNNNNNNNNNNNNNNNNNNNNNNNNNNNNNNNNNNNNNNNNNNNNNNNNNNNNNNNNNNNNNNNNNNGCAACUUUGAUUUCCCUGGCUGUUUGAUUGAUUUCCUUUCCUUAUUUUUUCCAAGCUGUGCACCACUGAGCUUUUCCUUAAAUAAACUUCUAUGUAUUUACCCCUUUUGUGCUACUUUGAAAAGGUUUUAAUCAAAAAUUUCUUUCCUUAAAUGUCUUCUACCCAUUUGAAAUCAAAUUCCUUAACUGAAGGGAAAUUCUAUGUGAUUGAUUGCAAGUUAUUUUUUUACCUUUCUUACUUUCUUCUUUGCUCUAUAAAAGGGACUACCCUUCUGCACUUUUGAGACAACUUGGAGUUCAAUACCUCGAACUUUUAGAUCAAUACUUUCAACUUACUUACACACUUUAUUGCUUUGAGUUCAAUACUCUUACAACAUUCUGCUCUUUUCUGGGAUCUUUUGGAACUUUUGCUUGCAACUUGGCUUUUUCAAAACUACUUUUACUUGUUUAUUUUGCCUGAAACUGGUAUGUUCUAAUUUAGCCUUUUUGCCUCAGCCCUAUGUGUUUAUUUACAGUUUUCUACAAUCCUGUUUACACUGUUGUUCAUGAUUAAUGUUAACUAUGUGUGUUCUUUCCUUGCAUCUAUUUUCUGUUAUGAAUCCCUACCCCUAUUCCCUUCUAUGUGUUUGAGUUAAGGUUCAUGGCCUGGCAGUAUCCAAAUUACUGCCCAGGUCCAAACCUGAUCCUCAAUGGAUCCUAACUCCCAAUUUUGGCUGACAGGCUGGUCAGAGGUGUGCCAACACUCUUAAAUUGUUGGGCAUGACCACCAGCAUGCCAUGGCCUUCCCUAAUUCCCCUCUAUUCACUUACACUUAUUCUUAGACUCUUAAGUUCUGCCCCCUCUUAUGAGCCUUGCUUUGGGAUCUUGAGUUCCCUCUAAACUUGGACAUCUGAGGGUUGGCCCUUCCACUACACUAUUAUCUCAAUUCUGCAAUGUGUUUGGGGUGUAAGCACUGCCCGAAGCCCUUUGAGACUCUUGGGAACUUUGACACAUCCCAAACAUGAGAAAGGCUUUUGGAAAUCUGAUCUUGAAAGUUGGUUUAUCUCAUAUUGUUGGACUUUGAGUCUGAAUUAGGCUGUUUGGUUGUAGCUUGAAUUUCUGAUGUAAUUUUACUUUUCUUGAUUCAUUCUAGCCUGUAAUAUUUUAUAAUAACUUAUGGGGUUCUAAGUAAAAAAGGAGAGGGUCAUUUAUGUAUGCAAAGGGUAAACAACAUGCUCAUAGGUGUUACUAUUUACAAGUUCUACACUUCUGCAUAUCAUAUAGAAAUCCUGCCUAUAAGUUUCUGCAUAUAGAAAUCAUGUAUAAGUUUCUGCACUUAGGAAUUUAGAAAUCCUGCCUAUAAGUUAUGCAUUACACGUAGAAAUCUUGACUAUAAGUUGUUUCAUUACUGCAUUAGAAACCAUGCCUAUAAGUUUCUGCAUAUAGAAAUCAUGACUAUAGUUUUGUUUCUGCAUUUCUACAUAUUCAUAUGUCGUUAGGCAAACAAUCAUAGGUUUAAUAAUAAUCAACUUCAUUCUAUAUACCAUGCCUAUAGGGCUCCUGCACUAACAUAAUCAUUUUAAAAUCAAUAACGCUUAGAAAUCAUGCCUAUAGGAGCAGCCGUCUGAAUCUGAUUCGUUUAUUUUAUCUAAAAUCAGUAGUAAUGUUUGUUUAAUAUCUACAGAAUUUAAUUGGUCCUAAAAUCAGUAACCUUUCUUUAAAAUCAGUAUACUUCCACCUAGGUAAGAAGUAGGUAGUUGUUUAACUAUGUCAGUUUUAAUAAAUUGCAACCAGACAAGGCCUAAUUCAGACUCCUCAUCUGAGAAAUAUGUGAUGAAGCAGCAUGUCCUAACGCUUUAGUUUAAUUCAGACUAUAACCAGUAUUUGAAGUAAUGAUAAAUAAUUUGCUCCUUUAAGUGAGGAGGCAUGUUUGAGCCCUUAAAUUGCUAUUUGUUUCCCCCUACUUGCUUAUGUGUUUUGUUUGUCGUAUUAGAAUUUUGUCCUUUUAAAACUCUGGAAAAAAAACCAACCUACCUCCCUUUAGGACUAGUAGUCCCAAAUGCCUCCGGGACUGAUAGGAUCGAGACGGGUAAUACCAUGCAGUAAGCAAUGACACUAUUCCGCAUUUAAUACCUUAACGGGGUGGGAAAGGGUAGAUAUGGACAUGAUGACCGGUGCGCUAAUACCACAUGCGACCCCCCUUUUGAGGAGUGAUUGUCGGGUAUUGCAUUGAUGUGAUCCAUAUUGUUUGUAAACCUAGGACCCCUUCCCCUUUACUUGUUAUCCUUUUUUUUAACUGUCCAAACUAUUUGCUUAAGAUUUCUAUUUUCUUUAUCUUUCUUCAAACAUUCAAUUCACUUGCAACAUUAUCCCCUUCUAUUUGAGACCUUUAUUUGCUUACUUGUUAGUUAAAUUCACAAUUGUAACAUNNNNNNNNNNNNNNNNNNNNNNNNNNNNNNNNNNNNNNNNNNNNNNNNNNNNNNNNNNNNNNNNNNNNNNNNNNNNNNNNNNNNNNNNNNNNNNNNNNNNNNNNNNNNNNNNNNNNNNNNNNNNNNNNNNNNNNNNNNNNNNNNNNNNNNNNNNNNNNNNNNNNNNNNNGCCCUUACCCGAACUCUGGUUUUCCAACUCGAACUCUUAUUUAGUGUCCUAAUGCACUUUAAUCAUUAGGUGGCGACUCUUCAACCCAAAAACCCAAUUCCCAAGAGGGAACGAGUUGUCCUCCCAAAUGUCAUGAACCCGAUUUUGCUUUUGGAAAAAGAAGGCGCGACAGCGUGGCGACUCUGCUGGGGACUUCUUUAGGCUUUUACCAUCUCAUGUUACUUGUGACUUCACUACUUCUUUAUUACCUUUAUUUAAUGUCUUUACCUCUUUUCUGCUAUGAAACUGACUUGGCUCUUUGUUUUUUUUCUUUAAUGCUUUCUUUUACUGCUUUCCUUCACUGUCGUUGUAAUUAUGAGCAAUUAUUGUAAUCAUUACUUUAUUAACGUGCAAAUACGUGACAACUUGUUUCAUUCUUGUAAUUGCAUAUUCAACAUCAUAUUCCACUCGUGUCAAACAAAAUACUAUAGCAACGCUUAUAAUGAGUGGUUGCGUCGUUCCAAUAUUAUCAGCCACUAAAUUUGGCAAAGGCGUAUUUGCGGUAAAACCAGUCGAUCAGCGUUGCAGUCGACGGUUCUGUGCCUUUCCCUCUUGAGUUGUCCACUCAAGGGUACCGGUCUAAUACCCAUAGAAACCUUACUCUAUUCAAUUGUGCAUGCAUCAACGUCAAACCUAGCCGAGUCAGUUAUGUUGUCUGCAUAAUGACUCUUUAAGAUAGUCUUGUCCAAAGUCCACUAGGUUCCCUUGGAACCCAAACGGACAUUACCACGUCUGUGCAUUUAUUUGGAGAACUAAAUGCUGCUUAUGCCAAUUAUUGAUAUUUAAAUAGUCGAGUCCAGCGGGGGUAAGGGUCUAACAUUUUAUUUUGUAGAAAAUGAGGCACGAAGUCCCCAUAUUCGGCAUGGUAACCAACAUUCACCCAAGAUUGCUAAGUUGGUGGGAAGACCUUCAGUCAAGUGAUCAAACUCUCGUCCGCAAAUAUUUGGGAAAUUUGCCUUCUCUUUUAGAGAUCCAACCCGACAACAAAAUCAUAGAGGCUGCAACUCUAUUCUGGAUGGCGAUAGAUUGGUAUUUUGCUUCGGGGAACUUGAAAUGACACCUCUACUCGAGGAAAUAGGAGGAUUAGCUGGUAUUCCAUGGGAGGCUCCGAGUUUACUUAUGUCGGAAAAUCGCAAGGGUAGGGGCUUUCUCAAAAUGAUGGGAUUAAAGAAGAACACAGACUUGACCUGCUUAAAGGAUUCCUACAUUCCUUUCGACUAUCUGUACGAGAGCGGCCAUAGCAAGUCCUACCUCACUUACCCAGAUGAAUUCUCCCUCACAUCAUUAGGGCAUAUCCACAGAAGAGUCUUCGUCUUUAUGUUCUGCUUUUUGGGGAUGAUAGUAUUUCCUUUGAAGAAGGCUAGGAUCCAUACCAUAAUGGCCAUGGUCACCAAGACUUUGAUGGAAGGAAUUGGCGGGCAGCCUUUUAGCAUAGUACCUAUGAUCGUUGCAGAGAUAUACCGAGCCCUGGAAAACUGUCAACAAUGGGCCAAACACUUUGAGGGUUGUAACUUACUGCUCUAACUCUAGCUCAUGGAGCACCUCCAAAAGGGUGAAUAUCGGCAAGAGAUUCUUCACAGAGACUUGGAUGAUCAUAUCGCCUUCCAUCAGCCAAGGCGAAUGAACUAUAUACCUAACAUGUUUGCCCAACCAGAAGAUGCUAAAGGGUGGGUAGAGUUGUUCGAAAAUCUAAAAGAGGACCAAGUGCAAUGGAUGUUCGAAUGGUUCCCUACUGAAGAAUUCAUUGUCCGAUCUCGGGAUGCACCGUUUCUUAUACUCAUUGGUCUGAGAGGAACUUAUCCUUAUGUCCCUCUCUGAGUCAUGAGGAAGGCAGGAAGGAAGCAGGUUAUACCAAGGGUCGACAAAAUAAAUCACUUGAGGGCCAACUUUCAAGAUGACGAUAGUCCAUACAAGUGUCAAGCUCAGCAUAUGUGGCACUACAAAAUCAUCCUGGGAAAGGAUUCCAUAGAACCAGAGAGGUACCAUGCUAGUUAUACUCCAUACUAUCCAAGUUGGUUGGAAGACGAUCAUAGUGGGUUAGGAUAACCCGAGCUUGUUCGAGGUCAGAGAAUUAUCGACGAAAAGGUUGAAGUACAGGUUAAGUACAACCAAUUGCGCAAAAGGAUUCGGGAAUGCGAAAGUGAGCACCGGGGAAUUCAGGAAGCCCAUCAAAAGCUGAUUGAAGAAUGGAAAGACAUGGCUGUCAGCGCCAACAAGCGGUUGGGAUAUUUGGAGCGGGAUUUAGUGGAGCUAGAAAGUAAGUUCAUCUAGAGGAUCGAAAACUGCCAGAAUGCUGAGGGAAAUGAAGGAGGACACCUGGAUAGAGCCUACUUGCUGCUGGGAUUGCAUGAGCUGGUGAAGCUGUUCAAUAGAGCUAAAGAUGCUGAGUUUGGGGAAGGUCCUUCUGGGACCAAGUAUCUAGGAGUCUCUUCUUUUGCUUUAAGAAUGUAAUAAGGCCAAUGGCCAUUAGUGACAUUUUAUUUUCUGCUAUUUUUAGUGUCGUUUUGGGAUUCAUCUUAUUUUAUCAAUAAAAUGAGGCAUUUAGCAUUAUAAGUUCUCCAAAUCAACUUAUCGCUAGGCCUACCUCGGGCAUAACGAGGCUCCCAAAUUAGGACAUGAAUUAUUUUCUCGCACUAUGUGUUUAAAUAUCGCAACAUCUUUUCCUUAUAAUCCUCACUAACUUGUUACCUUGUGUUUUAUUUUUCAUUUUUAUUCUCCUCCCCAAAGGUUAGUUCGUGCACUAUCGCAUCAUUAUUUUACUUCACAAGGCCCUUCUAUACAAGUUGUGAGUCGAGGAGCACGCCUUAACAAUUGGUCCAUCAGAACCACCAGGG